rnacentral:lncRNA from 1 species
AGCCACCCCGUCCGGGAAGGAGCAGGAACCGACAUCAGCACUGAGAAGCCGUUUAUUGAAGUAUGGGAAUGAGUGUGUUUUGAUCCUAACUGGAGAGUGUUUUGUCUGCCUUAGUGAAAGGAGAAGCUGAAGAACGCAGCAGCCAUCGUGCCUGCUAAUUUUGAUGUUAUGAUUUAAUACCAGGGGCUUUUCAUCAGGAGAACCAGAGGCAGGAGUGCCUGUAAUCUGAGGCAGCCAAUGAAAGUGUUAGAGAAGAAGACAAACAAGGGAAAAGAAGACAUAAACAAGAGACUGACUUUGUGAGGAUCAUCUGCGAUGGGUUGUGGAGAAGGAAUGAAUGAUGCAUAGAAAGAAAUGAUAGUACAUAAAUGGGUUGUCCCCUGGUUGAGGUACAGCAUGAAGGCUGAGUGGGUGUGUAUGUUCAGCUGCUCUCUGGUGCCCAAUGAUACUACUCUGGCAAAAGUAGGCACUGACUCCUGUUGCCUUGUUGUAGAUGUGUGGGGUAGAAAUUCAGUUCCCACACUGGCCCCAUCAACACCUUCCCAGUGAAAAUGGGGCACUGACGUUUGCCACCACACUGCCUCCUAAUGGGAAUGUAAGCCUGCAUCCUUAUUGGUUCCCAUUGACACUAGUGAGGGUGCGGGGAAGCCAAGGGUUGACUCACUCUGCUUUUUUGUUACAGUGGAGGCAGUAGCUCAGCUUUGUGCUGAGCCCUGCAGACACCAAGGGAGUGAAAAGGAAAAGUGGAAUGCCAACAAACCCCACCACUCACCACCUCCUUCUGUCCCAUCAAUGCCUGGUGUGGAAGGGUUCAUCUCCCAACUGGGCCCCACUAAUACUAGGGGUGGGAGAAAGCAAAGACUGUACUAAACCCACCUCAUGUCACCUCAUUCUGCCUUGUUAAUGUCGGGUAGAUUCGGAGGCUCAGCUCCCUACUGAGCCCGGCUGACAUUAGUGGCGGGGGGAUAGUGGACAGUGGAGUGCUGAUUAGAUCUGACUGGCAUUGCCUUGUUCAGUCCUAUUUAUGCCAUGUGGGGCUGGAUACUUAGCUCCCUGCUGCUGGGCUCUGCUAACACUUGGGAUGGGGGGUGAUCAGGGUAUGAACUAUAUCUUUCUGCCUCUUUAAGUCUCAUUGCUACCUGGUGAGGAUGGAGGCUCAGUUUGCUGUUGGACCCCACUGACACUACACUGUGGGGCAAUCAGCAAACUGCCUGCUUUUGUUUGGCAGGGAGUAGAAGGUCAGCUUUCUGCUCAGCUUUACCAGUACCUCUGCAUGGGAAUCAGAGCACCAGCUGCUUUUGCCUGGUGGGCAUUGGAAGAUCCCACAGCAGGGAAGGGUACAGAUUUUCUACUGGUGUUUGGUUGGAGUAGGGCAGGUAUUGCCAAAAAAGUUUUCUGUUGUUAUGCCUGACAGCUAGAGCUAUCAGGCUUUUCAUGGAGUUGUUUUUUUUUUUUUUUUUUUUUAAUCUGUACUUGGCAGUUCUGGGUUGGAGAGUUGGAGGCUUCUGCACAGUGCCCUCUCUGGGAUGUAAGGGAGGUGAUAAGGAAACCCAGGAAAUUCACUGUUGUGUUGUUCCUCAGUCUAACUAAGGUCCCUAAGAAUUCUGCUUUCUCCUUUCAACCUUUCAGAGUCUUCCUAUUCUUGUUUGCUGUGUUAUGCACAGGGUUUCUUAGGAGAAGACCCUGGGAGGAAGGGGACAUUCCAUCUUCAUCAGAUGCAGAAGUUCCCUGUUUUUCUUUUUAACAUGAGAGCAGGAAAAGCUUUUCAGACUAUGUCUCAAAAUUCAGAAUCAAUAAAUAAAAGAUUAAUGAAUUUACUUACAUUAAAAACACAUAAUCAUAAUAAAAUAUAAAAUGGUAAACAUAGAGGAACUAUUUUAUAUAUAUAUCAGACAAAAGAUUAAUCUCCCUAAUAAAUAAAGCGAUCUUAAUAAUUAAGAAGAAAAAGACUAAAACCUUGAUAGAAAAAAAAACCAAAAGGCACAGAGAGUUCACAGAGAAAUGCAAAUGAACAUUUGAAAAGUGCUCAUUAUUACUCACAAAAAUAGAAAUGCCAAUUAAAACUGUAUUGUUACCAUUUUACACAAAUCAGACUGGCCAAAACUCCAAAGUUUUACAAAACACACUGUUGACAGACAGACCUGUGGAGAAAUAAGCACUUUUAUACAUUGCUGGUGAAAGUGUAACAUGGUACAAGUCCCAAGGAGGUGAAUUUGGCAAUAUGUAAUAAAAUUACAUUUGCCCCUUGACCUAGCAAUCCCACAUCUAGAAAUUUACCCUGAAGGCAUGCUUCCAUAAUUAUGAAAUAAUACAUGUACAAGAUUAUUUUUCUGGCAUUAUUUUUAAUAGUAAAGACUAGAAGCAUCUGACAUAUCCACCAAUAAAGGACUUAUUGAAUAAACUAAGCUAUCAUCUCAUAAUGAAGUACUAGACAGGUGUACAACAAGAAUGACAAGGUGUCUAUGUUCUGAUAUGAAGGUUAUUUUUUUAAAAACAAGGUGCAGAACAUGUAUAUAGUGUUUUAUCUUUUCUAUGUGAAAGGAGGAAAAUAAUAUCAUGUGUAUUUGCUAAAAUUUUUCCCCAAAAAUUACUGGAAGAAUAACCAGAAACUAAUGGAAAUGGUUACCUACAGAGGGCUUGGAGGGGGGCUGAGGAGGAGAGGAUAAGAAUUGAAAAGAGAUUUCUGAGUAUGCCUGUUAAUAUAAUUUUGACUUAAUAUAUAAAUGUUUAACAUCCAAAAAACAAAAUUAAAAAAGAAGACAAACCAGUCUAUAACUGAAAACAAUCAAAUGGACCUAAAUGUAUAUCAAAGAUAAUGGAAUCAUACAGAGGCAAGAAUUAUUUCAAAUAAUUUGUGAAUACAGUACACAGACUGUACCAAAGUAAAAAAGAAGUCAAAAGAAAUCUUGAAUAUCACUUGGUAGUUUUACUUUGAG